CAUUGUAUAGUUGUCUAAUUGCCUGGUUUGUGGUUACCCUGCGCAGCGGUUCAGUGCAGAGAUCUGCGCAUUACACAGGAAAUCAGUUGGGAAGGCCGGUCUCUCUUGUUUCAGUCAAUUGUUAGCUACCACAAGUCUGAAGUUGUCUCAGUGCGGUUCUCUUUUUGGGUCACCGUUGCUGCAUUUCAUCAGUGUCACACUAGGCCAUCAUUCUCCUACCGGCCCAGCUGCACACCUGAGCAUGGUGCGGGGGUGGACUUGACAGCUGCACACCUGAGCUUGGUGCGGGGGUGGACUUGACAGCUGCACACCUGAGCUUGGUGCGGGGGUGGACUUGACAGCUGCACACCUGAGCUUGGUGCGGGGGUGGACUUGACAGCUGCACACCUGAGCUUGGUCCUGGGAUGGACUUAACAAAUGCACACCAGUUAGCUCGGUGCUGGCCCUGCUGGGACUGGAAAACUAAUCCAUAACUUAGUGCUACCAUCACAGGGAAGGUGAAGAAGCACCAAUCAAGGAAACGCUGAAUAUCCUCUCACAAAUGAUGUGCACUGGAAGCUGAUGCAGAUGGGAGGCUACAAAGCUCACACACGAGGCAGUAUCAGGGUUUGGUCAUCUCUGUGCAGUUAAUUACUGAGGGAGCCACCAACAACUCCAAGCAUAUGGUGUGGCUAACUCUGAAAAUGAAAAAGAACUCAAUUUCUUCCCUACCAAAAUAUCUUGCUUGCUUAAGAUGUCUGCAGAUUAUCAGCACUGGAAGGUGAUGUGGAGGAGAGACUGAAGAGCUCAAACAUGAAGCACUGGUCAUCUCUGUGCAGUUCAGGAAGAAGCCACCAGUAACUCCCAAGAUAACUCUGAAAACACACAUACUCUAGAGAAGAGUAAAUCAAGGAAAAUUCUUGUGCAAGCAAUUUUAAUUUCAUAAAAUAUAAAAAUAAAUUGCAAUUAACAUCUUGAGUCUGUACAUCCUUGUUGCAAACAUCUCACAAUUGUAUACGAACAUGCAUCACACACAUGGACUUCAUACUCAGUGCAUGCUGUAGUUAUCUGGAAGCCCUGUCUCUUUCAUCAGGAGACGUAAAAGUGCAAGCUAGGUAGUCAUAUUUUAAGUAACUAUAAAUUAGCCUUGCCCUUGAGAUUUUGAAAAGUCUAUCAAUGGUUAGUCAAAGCAUUAUUAACCCUCCAAAACACUGUGAAAACAAACAGCUGAGGACAAGAGUCUUCCAGCUGAACGUGGAGCACGACACAUAUUACACAGAAAGCUCAUACUGGCAGAGGCAUUAGUCAGGAGGAUGAGACAGAUGGCAUCAAGAAAUGACUGCAACAAUAAAUCUAGAGAGAGAGAGAGAGAGAGAGAGAGAGAGAGAGAGAGAGAGAGAGAGAGA